UGCUGGACGCCGCGUGACGGACGGUCGUGAACCCCGUCAGAUCCGGAAGGAAGCAGCGGUAAGCGAUGCAGUCGGUGUCGCGGAUUGUUCUGGUUAU
rnacentral:SRP_RNA from 1 species